UUAAAGCAAAUGUUAGAAAACGAAUGAAGGAAGAACCAGAGUAUGAUCUUUUAAACUACAACUGCAUUCAUUUUGCCAUGGAGAUUCUUGGGGUGAAGAGGUGGUGAUCUUAAACAAUCUUGUUUUAAGUCAGUAAUCCUGAUUAACUGACUGGAUGCUGUUGCUGUUGGACGGACAGACGGGUCACACCUCUGACAACGAUGGAGUAGAUUUCAUUCUGUUUCACAUGUUGAUGGGUUUCAUCAACAUUAUUUCUGCUGUAUUUGCUCUACAAAAACAAUAAAUUUCAUUUGACUAUUA